AACGCAAAGGUGUUCUGAAAUGGAAAAAUGGAUGGGUAGGGAGAACUGGGCAGCAGUGGGGAAGAAGAAAACAAGUAAUUUUUUUUUCUUUUUCUAUUUUUUUUUCUUUUUUGAGAGUUGCGUGAUAAUUUCGAUAAUAAUGAAUAAAGCAUCUUUUCUUUUUACUAUUUCUUUCCCUUUCUUUCACUCCAAAAGUUGCCUAAAAGUUCGAAAUGUUUCGUAGAAGGAUAAAGCUUCAAAAUAAUGUUUACAUUUUUAGCAGUUUAUAGAAAAAAUGGAUUGUAACGGCUUGAUGUAUGUGAUAUAGAAAGGUAAUUGAGAGAUAUUUUCAUAAAAAAUAUUAAAAUUUUUUUAUGGAAAAAUGCAAUCCAAGCAAAGUAACAAAUAUCUUGUACAUUAUGCAAAAAAUUUUUUGGAAUUUUAGUGUUUGUCAUCCUUUUUUCUACAUUAGUACGAGUAAAAGUUCAUGUCUUUUACGUUAAUCAUACCUUCUCUUUUAUAAGAUAGAAUGAUCUUUAGGCCAUGAUAAUUUGUUAUUUCUUUAGUUGAAUGCUUUUCAGGUUGGUAAUAAUUGGUUUUUGGUUAGGGAUUUGGAAAACUUUGAAUAUAUUAGAUUCUAAAGUAGACAUUUUCACAGUUAUUGUUACUUAAUCUCAUUGAUUGUAAAGGAUGGUGCUCUUUCAUCUUCAUUUAAAUCUAGCAUAUUUUAAAGAAUUAGCCAUCUUGUAGUUUGAUGAAAAUAUUAGUAGGCAUUAAUUGUCUCAUCAUGACAUGGGUAAUUUUUUUUUUUUUUUUCAGGUUUGGAAGGGCAUCCCGAAAUCACCCAGACUAAUUCAUAGAGUUUCUACCCCAGACAACCAGUCUUAGCCGAGCUACCCAUGAGGGGCUAAAAUAUUAUACACAAGUGAUAGAAAGGUGGCUCAAACACACGAUCUCGGGACCUAACUAGACUACUCCGAAACCAUCCGAACCAACCCCAAGAAGCGACAAGGGUAACUUAAUUAAUAUUAGGAUUUUUUUCCUAACUAUAUGGGGCGUAUUUAUUAGUAUAUUUAAAUUAUGCUUGAGUAAUCAUUUGAAUGCAUUCACAGUUAUUUCACCCCUUUUAUUUAACCUCUUUUCCAAAUUAAAUUUACUUUUACAAAAAAAUUAAUAUCUGAUACCUCUCUUAAUGUACUAUUGAAAAUAUACAUCUCUUAAUAUCUCUUACCUCUCUUAUUUGUAAAUUUACUUUUACAAAAAAAAAUUCAUUUCAUUUCUCGUUUGUAUAGCUAUAUUUUUUUUAAUUUUAAAAAAUGUACUGUAACGAUUUAAUAUAUACGAGGUUAUUAUAGAAUUUUCCUGUAACACAAAUGCGUACACAGUGUCCAAUAGCUUACAAAGUGAAACAAGCAAAACUUAUAAAUAUCUAAUCGUGGCAUGUGAUAGUAUUUAGAUAUUUACUAGAAGUGCUAAAUGAAAGCAUAGAAUAAGAUUUUUAUAUGUCAUCGAUUGCUUGUAAUAUUUUCAUAAUGUUUGAUAAUUCUUCUUUGCACGAAUGCAAAACUAAAGAAAGGAUAAUUGAUAAAACUUCAUCUCAUUUAAAGCAAACGAUUAAGUGUAAGGUCAUGAUAACUAAAAGAGAUAAUCUAGAAAUGUUAUUUUGCAAAAGAAAUUAACUAUUUAUUUUGCCAAUUGUGCAGGAUUUUCAACACAUUACAAAGUGAACUAUUUGAUGUAUAUAAUGAUGCAAAAUGUCACACGUAAAUCCAAAUCUAGUCAUUCAAAGUGGCAUCAUAACUCUGAAAGUAAUAGUGUUUGCAUAUGACCAAAACCUAGACCUGUAAACGAACCGAAUCGAACCGAGUAUCUCAUGUUUGAACUCUGUUCGUUAAGCGAUUCGAACAACGUUCGUGUUCGUUCGUUAAUUUUCGAACUCCAAACAUGUGUUCGUGUUCGGCUCGUUAAGCAAAAUUCGUGUUCGAGUUCGAGUUCGUGUUCGGCUCGUUUAACAUAAACGAGCCGUUCGCGAACAUGCUCGAAAUGCUCGAAUCCAAAUUAUUUUAAGUUUUAAAUAUGCCAUGCAAAUCAUUAAUCAUUUUCAAAAACAAUUAAAGCAACUAAGUGACUAAAUUCUAUUAUUCAUUAACUAUAAAACUAACAUUAACAUAAAAAUAACAAAUAAAACAAAGCAAUUUGCCCUCCAAAUAUAAAAGUCCAGCCAUAAAAUUAACCCUAAAAUUUGUCAAAUGAUAAUUAUGUCCAUGUUCGUGAACGUUCGUUAAAACUCGCGAACAUGCUCGUGUUCGCUCGAUUAUUAAUCGAACAAAAAAAUUCGUUCGAACUCGGUUCGUUUAACAUUUCGAACGAGUUUUUCACGAACACGAACGAGUUGAAACGAACCGAGCUACCAAACAGCUCGGUUCGUUUAACAGCUCUACCAAAACCUAUGUCCUCACCAGAGUUUACAACUUUGCUUUUCCUUUCUUCUUCUCACAAAUACGCUAAUAAAAGAAGUUCAAUAGACUGAAGUUGUUUAAUUACACAAAAGUUAGAACAUGGUGUCAUCGUUUUCCUUUUUUUAAAUAGUACCAACUAGCAAUAGUCAAAUCGACAAGUAAGUGGUUGAAAAGAAACAAUACACAACAAAACGCGGUUAAAUCAUCAUAUUUUUUCGUUUAUAAUACUACUUAUCGUCAAAUUGACAAUUGAGUGUUUGAAAAGAAAACAAUGCUACACAAACCGUUCUUUUCAAAGAAAAACUAUGAAGUUUUGCUUAUUGGAAUAAGAAAUUUUGCUUAUUUUGCCUCUUUAGUCAAGAAGCCACCAUCAUUUGUCAAAGAAAAACAAAUGAAAGAUGCCACCAAUUUUGCCUAAACAAGUGAAGAAGCCAAUUAUGUCUACUCCAAACAAAAACAUGUACUAUCAGUUCAACAAAAACAUGUAAUAUCAGUUGUGACUAUUUUGUUUACUUCUAAUUAUUUAUUUUUGGAGAUUGAUGAGAAAAAUAGAUAGAAAAAGAGAACCAAUGAGAAUAUAGAUCAAUUUUGUGUGGCAGGUCAUAGGAAGGAGAACAAUUUUGUUUGGAUUGUAAAUUAUAUGAAAUAUUUUUACUGUAGCACUUUUUGUGAUGUGAUGUAUGUGAGAUAAAAAGGUGUAUUAAAAAUUGUAAUGAUAAUAAUGUAAGCAAAUAUAUUUGAUCAAAUAAUCUGUUGUCCAAACAAACUUAGAUCUGAUUGAGAAGCUUAGAACACCGACAAAGCACCGAUUUGAUUGGUCAGAAUCUGAGACAUAUGGAUUAGUCAACGACGACUGAGCAUAAUAUGCUGACACGUGUCAACAGUCACGUUCCUAGUCAGGUGAUGAACGAAGAACGAUGAAUAAUAGGUCAUUUUCUUAUCUAAAUGUAUUGCUCCGAGGGCAGUGGACCCCACCCCUAUCUUCCAAAGGCUAAUUGGUGGGACGUCGCGUGAAGCAACGCGAUCCAAUGCGGACGGUGGCGGAAAAGUUGGGGAUACGUCUCCCCAGUCCCCACGUUCGACGCCAUCCGGACAAGCGACAGUCCGAGGGUUAUCUGUCUGAUCCGACACCUUUAUCUUCACGCCCUCCAGGGUGCGUGCAAUUUACUCUUCGCUAUGUUUGGGUUAGUUCUGUUUGGGGGAUUUUUUUGAAAUAUUUUACUGUAGUGUUAUAGGUGAAAAAAUUUUACUGUAAAUGAGUUUGUUCUUUGAGGGUGUUUUUGGUGUUUUAAUUUUUUUUGGUAUUUUUGAAGUUAUUUUUUUGUAUUUUUUGGUAUUUUUGAGAUUGUUUUUGACAUUUUUUUGUUUAUAUAUUAUUGUAACAUUGCACAUGAAAAACUUGUUUUUGAAAAAAUAAUGAAACCAAACGGAGCUCUUGUUAUAUAGUACUACGGUAUUCGCAGACCAGAUCAAAGGUUUUUUCAAGUCAUAAUUACUGUUAGACCCUUUUAAUUUUUUUUUUUUGAAAGUAGCACCUUUCGAGAUGUAAAACAAAAGUUUAUUACUUUCCCUCAAAAAGAAAUUAUCUCCCUCCAUAAAAUUAGUUUAAAGAAAAUUUAUACAUUAAGUUUACCAUGGUUGAUGGUGCUUAAAAAUUAUUUACUGCUCAAUAUUGUCAAAUGACCAAUCCUUCUAAUACCACAAGCAAUAAAGUCUUCCCAUGAGAUAUGAGCCCCUUGCCAAUUUAAAAGUAGAAUGUCAUAGAGUCUUAAAGUGAUCGAAAUCUACAAGGCAUGAGACAAUAACGUCUUGGGGUUUUCGAAGGGGUAAUAUGCAAGAUAUAAAUUGCAAUUCAUAAAUGGAUUAAUUUUGCAUACACUUACAGCGGAUGUAUGUUACUUUAUUUUAAUUUAAAUUCUUUUAUACGUGGCAUAUAUCCAUGCUCCCUAGUAUAUAUAUUACCUAUAUAUAUAUAUGAAUUUAUAUUCAUAAAAAAACUAUUAAUUAGUUGAUUAUACUGAAAAACAAACUUUUUGUUACUAUCUUUUGCAAACUAUUAGUACCAACCAUAUAAUUGGGUAGGUUUUCAAAUAAGCUCACGUUCACCCUUAAGACAGUGUACUUUUUGUGAAACUAUACUUUCGCAACAUUUUAGGGACUAAACCAGAUGAUGAGUUGGUUGAACCAUUCUGCACUUAACAAGAUACUAGAAUAGAACUAGUGUGAAAAAGAAAAUCAGGAAAGACGAAAUGAGGAUUUAAUUAGAACGUAAUUGCUUCAGAUACUUCUUGUCGGGCAGUUUGUGUUUUUAAUAAAUGCCCAGGAUAGAUAUUUUGAUCAAUUUAGCAUUUUGAGGUGCAUGUAUUUAUUGCUUUGAUAAUUGCACGACCUAAUCAAUCUUUUUAAUAAUCUUAAUCAGACUUGUGGCUGCAUUCUGCCGCUGCUCUUCUUGUUAAAAAACAACUUAAAGUGAAUUAGGAGUAUACUUUAGUAUUGGGACUGCAUGUAGUGCCUCGUGGUCAUUGGGUUAAAUUAAUUGAAGGUAUGCAAUUUGUUCAAUAUUUUAAUUAAGGAACAUUAGGGCUAAUUACCUGUUGGUAUUCAGAUCAGUGAUGUCAAAUGAAAGUAUGUUUUAUUUCACCUACUACAUGAAUUAAGCCUCUUUCUCUUUGUUGGCGUGCUCGAUCAUGAUUCUCUAUAUAAUGUAAGUCCAUUAUGUUUGGCAAAAGUUGCACUUUAAAGACCUUUUUCUAUUUUUUGGAAAGGAUUGUACUUUAAAGACAUGAAUCAUAUGCGUUGAAAUGCCUAAUUUUUUUUAAUGAUUUAAAAUUAAUUCAGAUAUUUCUCCUUUGUUUAGAUUGUUAUUUAUUUAAAAAAAAUUACUUUUUUUCAUAAACUUAUUUUUCGAUACUUUUUCAUCUUACAUAUAUCAAAUUAUUACAGUAUAUAUAUAUUGUUUUACAAAAAUUUCAAAAAAUUACAAUACAAAUGGGUAAAUGUCUCCUUCUUGGUUUUUUCUUGAGAAGCCAAGUGUGAUGCUCCAACGGUCCAACUUAAUGCCAUGGAACCACUUUAGUACGACGCCUAACAGGUUUCAAAGGUGACAUUUAAUGAUUGAAACUAUAGCACAAAUUGGAUCUGAUAUGAUGCUAUAAGUUACGUAGGAGAUGACUGCAGGACUAAUUGGUGGGUACAAUUUUACGAAAGGCUGAAGUUUCAUCUAACCUGCUUGACCAAGCAAAUAUCCUCUAUUUUCAAUUUGUUGGUAAAAUUGUACAUUUUAUGGUCAGCAAAUGUCACAGAAUGCCUACCUGAUCAUUUAGCCUAGAAUUGAUGCCCUUGUUUGUAUGGUCCAUCUACUUGGCCAAACACUGGGAAUCAUGUAUUCCCGGCUGAUUGCAAUUUGACAUAGACGGAUGCAUGGGGCUCAUUUAUGGUCCUCCAGGAGAAGAAUUCAGAAACAGGAAGAAAUGGAUGAUUCCUUCUUUAUUUUUCUGUUUGUUUUUGGUUUAGAAUUCUACUUAUUCUCGGGCUUAUGUACUCCAUUGCAACCCCAAGAAAAAAAAGAAUAAUAAAAGAAUAAAAGGCUUUACAAAAAGAGUUUUCAAUGAGAAUUCCUCCUUUUCUUUUUCCUUUUUAAUUUCUUUGGGAUAAAGUGAUGGACAUUCAAUCAGGAUGAGAUAGGGGUAAAAAGUUCAGUGACUAUCAAGAGCUUUUCUAGAUGGAGUAUCUGCUGCACAAAUACUUAAGACCCCAUGCAGUGGCCUGGACCAACAACACUGGAGGCUAAGUAGUGAUGAGUCUUGAAUUCUUUCUAAGCUUAGUGUAUUAGUAUUAGAUUAGAAAGGGUGGUUGUUGAGACUUUGAAACUGGAUAGAUAAGGUGGAUGAUAGAUAAUACACCUUUUGGUCGUAGCAAAAACACCAAAGAAGUAUGAACAAACUCAACCAAACAGCAUAUCCACAGGGCAUCAUGCUUGAUACCAUCUCAAAAGUAGGGCUUGCAAAAAAAAGUCCUAGUCAUGACCUAUCAAUAUGAGAAUGACACAUCUUAUUCUAGCUUAUUGUAACUGUGGUUGGUGAUUAAUAUUUAUGACCCUUGCUAUUGUUUAUGGCAGCGGCUAAUGUCACAGUCCAAAUUAUUUUAUUAACAUGAUUAGUCUCAUAUUAAAUUUUCCAAUUUUCCCUUCUUAAACCAUAAUGCAAGUUUGGCUUGUAAGGAGGAAUUUUGCCAUUUUAAUCAAAAUUGAUAGGGAUGUAAAUUUGGGAUGUGGCAAUAUCAUUUGAUAUUGUUUAUUCUUCAAAAGAAGUUCGAUUCCAUCUCGCAGUUCUUUCUUGACAAAUGGGCAGUCAAAAUCUAUUGGUAGACAAAGCAAUCUACGAGUUAGUAUUCUAUAAUAUCAGCUCGUGGAGCUUAAAUUAUUUCAAGCCCCACAUGUUAAGAGCAACUGGGAAAAGCUUUCAAGACCAUGAAGUGUGGUCGUCAUGUGUUGGGAUCAAUAAUGGCGAAGAUGAUUCGUUAGUGGGGAACAUGGCUAUGGAAGUCAAGGCAGUUCAGCCCAUCUUAACAACGUCCUAUAUGAAAUCUUAGAGCUUCCAUCGUGCUAGGGUUUCUACAUCUGCAAUAAUCUGGAAUUUGAUCUUAAAGUCUUUCAAGUCUAAAUUUUACCGGUUUGCUGCAAUAUGUAUAUAUUGAGGCUGACAUUGUAUAAAACCAUUUAGACAAACCUUCAUUUUUGUAGGUGAGAAAAUCUUCAUUUCACUGUAUUUUGCAGUAACGCUGCCUGGUGAAGCAUUAACCACUCACCAAGAAUUACCAGCUCAUAUCUCUUUAUUCAUUAAUACUCUUAACUUUGAUUGUAUUCGGUUUCUUCUUCGGAUCGAGAUAAGGCGGUGAUAAAAAGUGAAAGUCUUAUUAAAUGUCUCUUACACUAUUAUCUUUCUUGGAUCACAUUAAAAGUUCAUACAAGAAAUGUAGUAAUAAUCAUAACAGCUCCAGAGCAGCUAAAUAGCAAUUCCCAGAACAACUGCUGAUGGCUGUGCCUAGAGGUGGCAAAUCAACCCACUUAAUUAAAUUUACCCAUACCCGCCCAUGAAUAGAUGGGUAUGAGUAUCUAAAAUUUUUGUAUAUGGGUAUAAAUGGGUUACCCAAUAAUACCCAUUUAAUUAUUGGAUAACCCAUCAAACCCAAUUAACCCAUUUAGAAUUCUCUUCCCCCCAAGUCUCUUCUUUUCCCCCACCCAUUUUUUUUUCAAAUUUUUCAUUUUGUCAUGAUGUUAACUACUUUUGUUUCAUUAUUAUUAUUAUUAUUUGUUGGUUUUAUCUUAUUAUUUUAUUUUCUCUUAGUUUGUUAACUUGCUCAUUUUUCAGCAUUACUAAUUUAUGAUAAAUUUUAGCCUAUUUUCUUAUCUUUCUAAAAUGAAAAUUUAAAUUUAUAUAUGAAAAAAAUUUUAGGGGUUCAAAAUUUUUGGAUUAAGUUUUUAUAUUAAUUUUUAUAGUACUUAGUUCAAAUUUUUAUAUUCUUAUUAUUCAAUUAUUAAAUAAUAGGUAAUUUUGUGACAUAGAGUAUAAAUGAAAAAAAAUUGGUAAUUAAGUUUAUUGAACAUUAUAAAUAAAUAUUUAAAACUAAUGACGGGUACAAAGAGUGGUAUAAAUUGAUAACUUAGUUUGUAAAAAUGAAUUUAAAUGAGUUUACAAAAAGUUAAAAUAAAUGGGUUAUAAAUGGGUAAUUGGAUUACCCAAUUCAUUUUUUGACUUACCUAUUUAUACCCAUCUAAUUAAAUGGAUAUAAAUGAGUUGACUCACUUAUACCCAUUACCCAUUUUACCCAACCCAAACCCGCCCAAGUCACCCAUUUUGACACCUCUAGCUGUGCCAUACAGCUCCCAGAUCGAACACUAUAUUAUACAAGUUCUUCGCAUUGACUAGCCAAUUAUCUGAAUCCUGAGUAUUUCUUAAUACGGAUAGAAAGCUUUUGAUAGAAUAUGCAUUAGGAAGAAUUCAUAUUUGAAACUAAAGAGUGUGGUUUAGGACUGUUCUCAAUUGUUUUAGUUUUCGGUGUUCGUAAUUCUUGAAGGGUUUGGCUAAUGGGUUUUUUGUGGGCAUUCAUUAAGAAAUACCCGAAGUAUUUAUAUUGUUGCAAAAGUGUAAUUAAUUUGCGAAAGUGUCUAAAUGUAGAGGAUACGAUAAAUGUAAAUGUGUGCAUUCAUAUAAUACUUUGUAUAUAGUUUAGAUAUGUUAACGAAUAUCUAAUGGAUAAUUGGUUAAAAUGCUCCAUUCUUGAAAGGUUGGUUCAACCAAUUUGGCCAGAAAAUAAAUAUUCUUAAAGAUCCUUUAAGCAAUAUUUGGUCUCCAAAGAAUUUUUAUAUUUUUUAUAAACACAUUUUUCAAUUACAUUUUUAUCUUACAUAUAUCAAAUUGCUAUAAUAUACUUUCUACGUACCUCCAUAAAAUAGCAAUCCAAAUGGGCUUCCAAAAAUAAAAGCUUAACUAAGAAAACCUUUUCAUUGUUAGGUUAUUCUUUUCUACUUCAAUUUAGGCAUCUGAAAGAUUUUGCCUUCUUUGGGCCCAGAAAUCUAGAAUCCUAGAAUUGCAAGUCCAUACGAAAAUAGUAUUGUACACAAACAAGACAACGAAGCGGGCCAUGAUCAUUGCAAAGUGCACGCUUAGGGCCCAAAUCACUUGGCAACUUUGUGAUUUCCUACUUUUUGACGCGUACACAAAAUUAUCCAUGAUUUGCAUCUAAAAUACACUUAAUUAAUGAUCCAAAUUUGACAUUUUAUUGCAUAUUCCAACCCAAUUACUUAGGAGCAUUGAUUGAUGACUCCUAUACAUCUAUAAUCCCACUAAAUUUUCUUUCUCCAGCUAUUUGGAGUUGCAAUUCUGUAAAAAUAUAUAGCUCAAAACAAAGGUAAAUAAUUUAAAACUGUUUUAAAGUUUAUUUCAUUCUGGCAAAAUAUACGUUAGAAGAACUACUUUUUUAGUUGCAUUAGCAAUCAAAAUUUAAUUUAAGUUUUAAAAAAAAUAUAUAAUUUCAUGUAUUGAGUGUGGUUCAGAAAAAACGGAACUUAAACUGACAACAUAUUUUUUGGAAAAUGAAAAAGCAGCGUCCGUUGGCAGUAUAUAAAAAAGGGCCAUUGGGCCUUUGGUCCAGUGGUCAUCCCAAGCCUUCUUAGGUUUGGUGAUGCGAGAGGUCAAGGGUUCGAACCUUGCCUCCCACAAAAAAUUUGUCACAAUAUGUGACGGUCUUCUUUGACCAGUUUCGAUGGAGUUUCUACUCACAUCGAGUCCCUUCCCCUUCCCCCCUAGAAUAGGCUAGUUUAGGUUAUAGGAAUUCUAUCGUGUCGACAAAAAAAAAAAAAAAAGGCAGUAUAUAAAAAAGGGAAAAAAACGUUUUCCGUAUAUACAGUUGUACGUAUAUUCUGAUCAUGAACCUACAGCUAACGCGCUAUAAUUCCACAUGUCGCCAGUAUCAUUGGAUUAGUCUACCAAGUGAUCAAACUCUAAACAUGGGAUUGACUUGUCCUUUUUUUUCGGUCAAACUUUCUUAACAGCUAGCAGUUCAAAGUCAACACAUUUUAAAGACUAAGAGGUCCAAAUUACUUUUGGGAUAUGAUUAGAGAACUUAUAAAAGACGAUCAGAAUUUGAGACAGUUGGUACAUUGUGCAUUCCACUAUUAUACCAUAUCAUAUAUGAAUUUUCUUGGUAUUUAAGUUAGUCUUGAUAUAAUGUGUUAAACUUUUUUUUGUCAAGCGAGAGAUAGGAAUUAAUGAGGUUUUUGUUUACUUUUUAGUCCCUUUAGAAUUUUCAAAAACAAAUAAGGGCACGUCAAAAGAUUUCUUGAGUUACACUCCUAUUUUUAUUAUUCAUUCUUUCACUAUCAUUUUAAUUAUACAAAAUUUAUUUAUUGAACUAUAUGAUAAAAUAAAUGGUAGGACUGUAAAUAACAAAACAUAAAGUGUAAAUAAGAUUUUUCAAAAUUAAUUGACGAAUACAAUGUCUGAAAUGAUGUACAACUCAAAGAAAUGGGAACCCAUUUGUCACCACACAUCUAAAGAAGGAAAAAUCAAUUAGUCACCACUCAAUCAUAUUCUCCAUUGAUUUUCUCUACCUACUCUUUGUGGCUUCCUACUACGUAUGAUUGUACAUAUAUGUUUUACUAUAUGUCAAUUUUCAUUACAGUAUUUGUUAGUAAUUCAUUAUAAUAUUAUUCAAUUAACUGUUUUGUUAUAAUCUGUACGUAUUGAUUGUACCAAUGUGGAUUAUCAAAAUGAAAAAAAAAAAAAAACAAGUAUACAUAUAUAUUACCAUGGUUCUGCUUCGCUCAAUUUUCUGUUAAAACUGCUUAUAGAAUAUAUAUAUUCUUCCUUUUGCAAGACUAGCAGCCAAGGUUUUUCGGAAUUAGAAACGUAAAAUGGGAAGGAUAAAAUUUUAAAUUUGUUUUUUGGGCUAUCCUUGUUUAGCUCAUUAUCUUCUACCAUUAAUUGUAAAACUUGAUUAUAAUAGUUCUUUGAAUAACCAUGAUGAUAAUUAGAGAAAUUCUUGUCUCUAAACUUGCAACGAACAAGACCUUUGCUGCCUAUUGGAAGGAGGUAGCAAUAAUGAUUUCCAACUUCCAAUGGUUGAAUUUCAGCAGUUCACAGUAUAAACCCAGAGACAAGAAAAUGUUGACUAGGCUUAAUUCAAGAAGAAAGUUCUGAUAAAUUGAAGAAAAUGAGGUAGAUCGUUUUGGAAUAUUGAAUACCCCAUUAACAUUAAAAAAAAAAAAGUACUCCAUUACUUCCAGAAUUCGUGGGCUAAACACCAUUCUCAUGGAAAAAGAAGCCUUGUGGAAAAUAUUUCCCAGUUGUUAGAAGUCAGAAUGAUUGAUUUGGUUCGAUUCAAUGGACAAUGAAUUUCUUAUAGUUCCACUUCAAUUGUUCAAUACUUUGUUUCACUCAUGAAAAAAAAAGUCUUCAAUUGGAAUGUACAAGUCUAUUUAGUCAUCUGCUUUUCUAUUUAAGCUGAUAUAGGAUAGGUCGAUAUCAUUUGCAAAUAAAAUGUCUAGUUGCGUAUUUACUUGUGUUCAUUUUGCAUGUACAUUAAUCACGUAAAAUAUCUAUGAUGCAAGACUUUAGAUGCUUAAUAUAUAUAAAGGCAUUAUCAACUUGUAUAAACGAUCAAUGCACCUGUAAUGAAUAUUUACACCAAAGUUUGCAAAAUCUAUUUUGCUUUUACAACGUACAUAAGACUAGUCAUUUUCUGUUAAACCUUUGUAACGUGUUUAGGAUUAUCCGACUUUUUGAAUUGGGGUUUGAAAAGCCCAACGUUGACUUACAAAAAAACAAAAAAAGAAAGGAAAUUUCAAGUUUUUGGAUUGUAUUAAUUUCGAAACUAUUUCGAUUGUAUCAAUUAUCUCAAAAUAUAUAUUAAAUUUUUAUGUUACAAUGUGUAUAAUAUAAAUUUAUACAAUGUUGUAUGUCCUAUGUAUUUUUGUACAUAUAAUUAUUCGAGUCAAACUUUAAUCUAGCUCAACCAGCUAAAACAUGACUAUUUUUUUUUUUUGAGCCAAACAGGUCGAGUUCAGGCUAACUCAACCCGUUCACGGUGUUAAACGUGUCGUGCCCGUGGACUACAAAUCAUGAAACAAAUACUAAAGUAAAUAGAUUAUGCUUUGAGUUUGCACUAAUUGUGUUAGACCGGUCAACUGUGACCUUAAAGAAUAUACAAUUGCAACCUACCAAGUACCAACCAAGCUAUAUGCUCUCUCUGACCGGCAUGUUAAUGUCCCCCUGUACAAAGAAGGAAUUGUCUUGAAUAGACUAACCUUUGUGGUUCAGAAAAAUAGGUAAAUUUUUGACUAUUCCUCCCAAACAAACAAGUACUGCUGCUUAUUUACCGGCUAUUCCACACGUGGCACAAUGGUCAUCGCUUGCAUCAUCAUUAUGGUUUCCUGCACUUUCCAUAAACAACUGUGAGAAGAAAAGUUCUUCCAACUCCUCUUGUGCACGUUUCGUUUGGUUUAUUACGGGCAAAAAAGAGCUUGAUUCAAGACCACACAUAUAUAAGUUAAUAAUUGGUUAUCUGCUCCGUCCUUGUACGACAAAUAUUUUCCCAGUUUUUAGUUUGGAAAAAUGAAAACUUGAUUCUUUAACAGACGUCAGUGGGGAUUAACGAGAGUUGAUAAAGGGGUAAACUCGUAUGUCUUGGCCCAACGAGGCUUAAGCUGGUCAAACUUUGUGGUUGCUGAAUGCGUUUGUGUGGAUGGCAGACGUCCACGGGUAUGGAUUUCAUUUGGGAAAAUUGGGAUUGAACAUCACCCAGGAAACUUGAAGUCAAUUCUCAAUCAUUUUAUUUUGGAAAAAAAGAUUUUUAUUCUUAAUAAGCCCUUUGGUUUGAUCUUCCCUCAGAGUAACAAAUGGCCCUUGGUCUCUAAAUUACAACCAGUAGUAAAAUUUAAAUCGGGGAAAGAGAAAUACAGAAUAGGAGUGAAAGACGAAUCAAACUAUUCAAUAUAUUGAAAUGAGUUCGGUUUAAGUAGAGUUUGUUUGAACUUGGUUUGUCAAUUAAUUAAACUAACUAUGAACACCAUUUGGCGAUGAUAAAAUUUUAAAUUCAACUUAAAUUUUGAUCGAUUAGUAAUAAAACUUGAAAUUUAUAUGUAAAAAGAUUUGAAUUGCUCAAGCUCGAUUUAACAAGAACUCAUUUGAGUUCGACUCUGUAAUAAAGAAAAUCAAAUUUAAACAUAAUUUUAAAUUCAUUAAAAUAAACAAAUAAAGUUAAAUAUUAGAGUGUUCGAUUUAAUUAGCUUUUUUACUCCUCUGGGUGAGGGGAGUAUACGCAAAUAGUAAUAAUGAGAAUUAAAAAUUACUAGAAAACUUGAUCAAUGACCAUGGUAUGCAGUUCUCAAACUUCAUGGUCCAAUUGUCUCAGAGGGCCCACAGAAAAUCACAUCUCAGAAUACCAAUAAUAGUGGUAAGUGCCUCGUAUUCAAAUCAAAUAUGCAUUUGUAGCAUAAUCCUCUUCAAUUUCUAAAUCUUGAAUCUCAAAGCACAUUUUUCUGCUCAAAAGUGGAACCUAUUCCCUUCAGCUUCAGCAGACGUGUAGAAUGAGCUCUAGAAUUCACCAUUCAAUCAACAGAAUCAAUAAAGUACUGGACAUACACUUGCAAAAUGGACCACUGACUUUGUUACCGUCUUCCACUUGCUCUACAGGCUACAGGUUCUUCGCAAGUUGAAGGGGCUUAAUGAGUCGUAAAUGCGAAUAAACUGUAGCCUCAUGGCCAAGAUCAACCGGGCGUAUCACGGGAGUAAUUGCUCUUUUCUUCUUAAAACUCAAAAGGGCAUUUCGAAAGCAAGAGAUGUUUGUCAGACUAUAAACUGACUUUUCCAUUUCAACUGUAUCGUCAUUAGACAAUGCUGUGGCCGUUCAAUAUAUUGGACACAAGAAGAGCAGUCAAUUCAUCAAAUUUUCUUAUGACAUAUAAAAAGUAAAAACCCGUAUUUUUUCCCCUAGUUUUCAACUGCUAUAUAUUGUGAAUCCAUUAGUCUAAGAUAUAAGGCAGACAUGGACAGCCAGCUACUUGUGUCACAGUCCAUUUACUAAGUCAAUCCAUCUUCUUUUCAUAUACUCGCAUUCAAAUUCUCUACCUCCCUUCUGAGUUUAUUUCUUUCCGACCACAAUAAUGUAAUAUACCAGUUAUCUUCUGAUCUCUCCGACUCAAUAACUUCCACUAGUUCAUGAUCCCAGAUGCACCAAAACGCUAGUGGCAUGUAUAGUUCCGUUGAAUUCUUUAACUUAUGCAUAUUCUUUUUCAUCCUUCUGGUAGAAAAGUCCUCUGCUGCUCAUUACCAGUAUGAAGCAUGUGUUCCACAAGCUUGUGGAAAAAUAAGCAUAAAGUUUCCAUUCUACAUUGGAGGUCUGCAAGAAUCCUAUUGUGGCCACCCUGGAUUUGAACUCAGUUGCAGCAACUCUCCAGCGAUUCAUUUAACCGAAGAUGACUAUGUGAUUGAUACCAUUCAGUAUGAGAAUCGAACUUUUCGGGUACACAACGAGGCAGUUUCAACCGUCCGAGGUUGUCUACCACAGAUUGGAAAUAUAUCAGAAGACUCUCUGCUCGGUAUAGUUGAUACUUCAAGACUUCAUUUGCUAUCAAACUGCAAUAGCAAACUGCCUGAGGUACUUUCCAGCUACAAAGUUAAUUAUUGUGAUCCUUCUAAUAAAGAGGAUUUGGGUCUUGUAAUGUUAGGAGAGGAUAGAAACUUGAACAUUGCACUCCAAGAAUGUAACACAAAUGUCUUGGCACCUGUGGAAGUUGAUAAAAAUGGAGGAAACGGGAUUGUAGACUAUGAAGGGCUGUUGAGAAAGGGAUUUCUGUUGAACUGGACAGUAGCUGACUGCAGCAGAUGUGAGCGAAGUGGUGGUCGUUGUGGCUUUAAUGAAACCGAUGGUCGCAUGCGGUGUUUUUGCCCUGAUAGGCCUCAUUUGGAGAGUUGUAAACCUCGUAAGUACUUUGAGCCCUUUAUGAGUUUUUUCUCCAAAAGUGUUCAUUAUCAUAUUUGCUGCAAAAUUCAAGUGAAUUCACUGAACUUCACAUCUGGCUUGCCCUCUAGAAAGAUGUUUGUCAAAUGGGCAGAUUAAUUUUGCUCUUGAGUGCAUUGUUUGAGUAGCCACCUGAUCUGCUGUCUUACGUUAGUUAAACUAUUUAGUAGGAAUACUAUGCUGCGUCAAGGUCUUCUGAUAGAUUAGUUUUAAGAUAUUAAUCUCUUUAGCGGGGAGUUCAUAUCGAAGGUGUCACAGUAGUUGUCUGAAUUUUCAUGAACAAUUAGCUUAAAGAGCUAACCAUUGUCCCUGCAUUCUGAUGCUAAGAUUUGAUUUAAAAAAUUGACAAUCGUAGAGUUCAGAUUCCCUUUAUACUAGUAUUUUUAUUUGAUGCUGCGGCUGAUUCUAUAUUCGAUGAUUCGGUACUCAGUCUUAAAAAAUGCAAGAGGACGAGAGAUGAAUUGAGAAGCAAGGACUCCUCACUAACAAAUUAAUGUGCUGCCUCUAUACCAGGAAACUGAUUGACCUCACAAAUAAGAUAAUUUCUUGUUCACAGAAAAGUCCCAGGGGUUCCUCUAAUGAGGCAAAAUCUAAAAUUCUGGUGUUUGGACCAGUUGAAGGUGUAAUAUAGGUUUACACUGUGUAUGGAGAUACCAUAACAACCUUUAGUUCCCAUUGCUAUCCGAAACAGGUAUUCUAGAUAGGAGCAAAAGAUUUUUGUGUGUUUGGACAACUUUAUUAAGAAUUACUAAUCCAUUCAACUCAAUUUCCAGUUAGUCGUGUUGAAAGCCUGAAAAGCAGCGCAGGACAUAAAGCCAGUGAUUACAACUUAUGUUACUUCGGGUAACUCUGCCCUGAUGUUUAUGUCACCACCUGUAGGCUUCUGUAAAAUUUAAACCACCCCACCCUCUUACCUAUUAAGUGUCCUAUGGAGUAAUCCUGCCUUCUCUUGUCAAAAAAAAAAAAAAAAAAAAAUUCUUUGAUUUGCCAGGAACUCUUAUGCAAGAUUAUGGCUUUAGGUUUGUUAAUGCUAAUGAAAUCUGAGAAGGGAUUUUGCUGCAUAGCUAGAAUAUCCUCAGCUUGCCAAAGCAUAGUGUAAUCGUCCUUCAUGGAUAUAGGAACCUGAGGAUGAUUCAUAUCUCCAACCAGUCUGCUGAUCAGUCAUCAAGAUUUUUGUCAUAGAAUCAGUCUCUGAGAUUUCUGGCACUUUUUGUACGUGAACCAAGUCGCUCUUGAUACCGGCACUCAUUCAGUCAUUAUAUGUAAAAAUGUUCUCUGUAGUGCUUGCCGAACUCAUAGUUGCAAAUCAUUCUGCGUUUCAUCCCACAGAAUGUUCUGUCCCAUUCCUCCUCCUUGCAACUCUUUCCGGUUCUCAUUCUUUUGACUAAUAUGCAUUUUUUGCUGCUAUCGUAUUCACCCUUGUCUAAUAUUAAAGGUAUGAGGAGAUUUUAUGUAUUUUCAGUUGGUCAGCUAGUAAUUAUUGAUGUUGACGUUCUAGUCUAACUCAAACAUCCAGAAUUGCUAACUACUGAAAUUAAGGGUCUUGCUGACAAAUUGAACUAAAUAAACUGAGAUGAUUGUUUGAAGAAAUGAACUGCAUAGCUAUGUCAUAUACUUCUCUCCCUUUGCCUUAACCUUAGUCAAGUGCUGCAGGCUGUCGAUCAAUAUUGGUUUUGGGUAUACUUCAGCUUGUUAUGUUAGUUGUCAAUCAUCCACCUAAAUAUUUUCAGCCAAUGUACACCAGACAACUCUUUUGCACUUGUCUACUUAAUCUUCAUAGGAUCAGUCAACGUUUUAUCCCUUUCCCUUUGCGUGAUAAAGAAAAAGUAAUUACCGCCACUGCCUAACAAUCUAAGACCAUGGAAUCUCAAAUGGAUGUGAUCCCUAACUACAGUAAAUUAAUGUAUCUACUUGUCUUCAAUCUCCAUUAAUUUACUACUAUCUGGUUCAGUUUUGCCGGCAAAGCUUGACUGACCACUAGUAUCCUGUUUGUUGUCAAACAAGUUGUUCAAAAGUUAACACUUCUUAGAAACUUCUGCGGGAUCAACGGUCUCAAAUGUGUACUCCUUGCAGAAAUUUGGUUUUGAGCUUUGACCAAGAUUGAUAUGUCUAUUAGAAGUAAUUUUUUUCUUUUUUCUUUUUUUAUUUCUGGGAAAUAUUUUUUCUGCUUCUACCUGAAUGUUUUUUCCUUCCUUGAAUAUACAAGGCACUUCUGAAGAGAAAUUUGGAUAUUUAAAUUUUAGAUUUAGAUUCUAACUGUUGAUUGAAACUCAGAACUGUACGAUACUUUUCAUUCGCAAUUGAUGUACUCUGCAAGAAUUUUAUAUGGAAUAAGUUAGUCUAUUUUUUUUUAAGUAAAAAUAAAAGAACAAAGAAGCAAAACCAAAUUGAAAAUGAUUAAUCAAGCAGAUCAGACUCCAAGAAAAAUUUUGGCUUCGACUAAGUUUUUCUUUUUCUUUUGAAAAUAUCAAAUGGGUAUGACGUACAACAUUUUGUUAAAAAAAAAAAAAAAAAUUGCUUCUGUAAACGGGUAUCUCUACUUUGUUUUACAUCUUGAUUGAUUAUUCUAUUAUAGGUGUA
rnacentral:lncRNA from 1 species